UCUUCUGUUUUGUAAAUAGAAAUUCAAAAGCAGAAACAGUCAAUUUGAACUGCCUCUCUGCAUGAUCACGUAUUUGCCUAAUUAUUUUUAUGAAAUGAUGGAUAUGUAUUCUUUAGAAUUAAGGGUGCUUGACCGGCAUUUAUACUGGUUCUUCUCCUCAGAGUGCACUCUGAAGGGAAAGAAAGGCAUCACAAGAACAAUUACGAUGUGUGAUUGUUUCUAUAGAAGUUGAAGUGAACUAGCAGAGACAAUUCCCUGCGUGGUUUCCAUAUUCUAGCUGUUUCUCUGCAGCUGUGACAGAACACGAUGUCAGAGUCAACGGAUGGUCCUCGAGUCCCUGCGGACCGUGCUGGUGUACAGACAGGAAAGACAU